rnacentral:rRNA from 1 species
GACGAACGCUGGCGGCGUGCCUAAUACAUGCAAGUUGAGCGCUGAAGGUUGGUCCUUGUACCAACUGGAUUAGCAGCGAACGGGUGAGUAACGCGUGGGUAAUCUGCCUUUGAGCGGGGGACAACAUUUGGAAACGAAUGCUAAUACCGCAUAAAAACUUUAACCACAAGUUUUAAGUUUGAAAGAUGCAAUUGCCUCACUCAAAGAUGAUCCCGCGUUUGAUUAGCUAGUUGGUGAGGUAAAGGCUCACCAAGGCGAUGAUACAUAGCCGAACUGAGAGGGUGAUCGGCCACAUUGGGACUGAGACACGGCCCAAACGCCUACGGGAGGCAGCAGUAGGGAAACUUCGGCAAUGGACGAAAGGCUGACCGAGCAACGCCGCGUGAGUGAAGAAGGGUUUCGGAUCGUAAAACUCUGUUGGUAGAGAAGAACGUUGGUGGGAGUGGAAAGCUCAUCAAGUGACGGUAACUACCCAGAAAGGGACGGCUAACUACGUG